GCUCUCUGCUCACACAGGGUGAGCUCUCUGGGAAGGCAGGUGUGGUCUAGAAGAUGAGGCUGCUGGGUCUUCUCCUGUGCCUGGUCACAGCUCCCCAAGGUGUCCUGUGCCAGGUGCAGCUGCAGGAGUCAGGACCUGGCCUGGUGAAGCCCUCACAGACCCUGUCCCUCACCUGUGCUGUGUCUGGAUUCUCCAUCACAACCAGCUCUUACUACUGGCAGUUGAUUCAUCAGUCCCCAGGGAAGGGGCUGGAGUGGACGGGGCUCAUAUGUUAUGGUGGUAGCACUUACUACAGCCCAUCCCUCAAGAGCCGAGCGUCCAUCUCCAGAGACAUGUCCAAGAACCAGUUCUCCCUGCAGCUGAGCUGACCGCCCAGGACACGGCCACCUAUUACUGUACUAGAGACACAGUGAGGGGACCUCAGUGUGAGCCAGACACAAACCUCCCUGCAGGGAGCCCAGGGCCAGCAGGGGGUGCUCAGCACACAGGGAGCUCAG